rnacentral:tRNA from 1 species
CAAGAUUUAGUUUAAAGAAAAUAUCUCAUUUACAUUGAGAAGAAAUUUAUGUGCAAUAUUAUUACUCU